GGGCUCCGCGGCCUAGCGCCCUGGUGGCCUUGCACGAAGCCUGCAAGGAAGGGGUUCUCCGCCGAGCGCCUCGGUCCUGAAGCAUGGCAGCCAUCCCUUCCAGCGGCUCGCUCGUGGCUACCCAUGACUACUAUCGGCGACGCCUGGGCUCCUCGUCCAGCAGCAGCUCCGGCGGAAGUGCCGAGUACCCUGGGGACGCCGUGCUCCAGUCCCCGGGUCUUCCCAAAGCCGACCCGGGCCACUGGUGGGCCAGCUUCUUUUUCGGGAAAUCCACACUCCCGUUCAUGACUACAGUGUUGGAGUCUCCUGAGCGAAUCCCCCCAGGUCUCCAGAAGCCCGAUGACCUGUGGCCUGACUCCUGAAACCAUGAAGCAGCAGCCAGUCAUCCAUUCUGGCCAGACCAACCCCAGGGACCUUUCCUGACCUAUCAGAAUCAGCAGCCUGCCCAAGCUGAAGUGGUGCUAGGCCAGUGCCUACCCUCUCGACCCUCCCUGUAAACUAGGAAGGCUGAACAAGAGAAACCAGUAGAAGCUGGAGAGAGCCCCCUCUUGGUUCACAGCACUGAACUUUCCUGACCCCAUAACUGUGUCUUGGCACAAAGCAGAAAAUAAACUCACAGCAGCCACC